AGAACUGGUGGUAGAGAGCAACAGUGUAGCCAUAAUGGUGCAGAGGAAGAUGCCCAGGCAGCCCCAAGACAAAUUCUACUUUUUUUAAGCAUCCCAUGGCAGAUGGAGAAAUGCACUGUGCAAGCCACAUGAAUCAGCUUAUGUUGGAAGCCACAGAUAGAUAACACAACAGCCACUAACGUCUACCAUCUUGGUGCUGGAUAUCCACCCAUCAGAGUCUGAGUAGCAAAAGAAAGCUCUUGCCUUGAAGAGCAAAGACGUUUGGGUGCUACUGGCAGGUGGACUUCGAAGAAAAAAGCAGAGUGGAGCAAAAACAAUAUCAAUUAUCCCGAUAAUUGUCAUGAGCCAAGGAAAGCCGAUUGCCUUUGCGAUGGCACCACCAGCAGAGGGACCUUUGGGGAAAGAGAAAAUCAGCACUUUCUCCAAGUGUCUUAUUGUGAGAAAAUGUAAAGAUUUCUGUAUUUGUAGGAGGUUUUAUCUCUCCUGCAUUGAGGUAAAGGUUGUCUUACCAAUAGCAUACCCCAUACAAAAGGCCACAUCCGCAAUGGCAUAUACACUCCCAUAAACAGACACGUGCCGUAGGUCGACCAGGUAACCCAUGAUAGGCAUCAUGGAGGAAUCCACCAUCCCUGUAGAUAGUCAAGGACAGUGUAUGGAAAAGUGGUAUGAAACAGAAGCGGGUUGAAUGUAGGGGACUGUGUCCUAAACUCAGUCCAUUGCCAUCUCUUCCCCUCUGCCAUUGCCACUUGCUCAUCUGUGACAGACCCCUGACAACAGACCUUUCAUUGUGGAUGGUAAGCAGAAGGGUUCAGAGAGGAGUGGAAUUCAGUCCUUAUUAGGUAACCAUUUGUAGGCUGUCUGACCUCACCUUAUAAUCUCUUGUAAUGGGCCAUCUUUUGGGUAAGGGGAAGGUACCCAGUCCUCUGGCAACUCACCUAUUACUGUUCUCCAAGUGUAGUAUAUUACAGGCCACUGGAACCUGGCCUACUAGCUGAUGCCUUCCUGAUCCACUAUUUUUCCAAUCACUUUUCCCUUGCCAGUUAGCACACACACAUAAUCAGUCAACCUCUCUCCCACUUUCCACUCACCUCUAACACCAGGCCUUAGGCCAUGAGAGUUACCAAGCUGGAAAGUACUCAAGUACUAGAACUCAAUGGAGGGUGAGAGAACAUCUCUUCCUGCUCAGAAAACUAAAACCUGAAGAUCUUGGCUCCUUAGUUGGCUAAAACCAACAACAACUGAGACCAGCGUGACAAGCUGUGGCUUCUUGACUAGCAAAGGACAAGGCUCAGAAAGAUCACAUGUGUUCAGAGUUCCAGGUGCAAAUCCUAGCUUUGAGCAUGGUCGUGUCUAGCCUCAGAACACUGCAUCCCCCUAUCUAAAUGGGGUGCUUUGAAAGUGGUUUUGGUGACUGAGUGUAGUGAACUGAUGCCUGUGAACACAUGCUAAGGGGCUGGCGCACAGCAGCAGGUGGAUGAGAGAAAUGGCUUUCAUUUGUUUAGUAUUUGUGAUCAUCUGAUGUGUGCAGCCUGCUGCAGAGAAAGAGUGGAGCAAAACCUGAGAGGUGGAUAUUAAGCACAGAGUUGAAGAAUGAAUUACAGCGGGACUGGUGUGGAGGUCCCUGAGGAGGGAUAAGAUGCCAGGGCUGCCCAACCUCCUCUAGAGGGUCAGAAGAUACCCCGUUCAUUCUUUCUGCUAUACCACUCUAAGACCAAAUUCCUGACACUACUGUGUAACAGAUUUGGCCUUUACUUUUAUCGUGUUAAUCAGUAUUUUAUAAGUGAGAAACAAAAGCAUACCAUUAGUCCAGACUUUCCCUAAUGUUUUAUUUUCCUUUGCCUCUGAAAAUCCCUGCAGUGCACAGCAUGGUACCUCACCAGCCUGUAUUUUCUUUACCAAGCCUCAUAAGAAAAGCACAUGGGAAGUCUGUCCCUAGCCACAUUUGGGAAGGUCUGCUCUUAUAUGUGAACUAAAUUGAAUGUGCUACAGAUGAGGAGGUGUGAGUUUGCUGGAGUACGGCAGUGAAG